AAAAUUUGGUUUCAUACCAAACACUGUGUGCAACGGAUUUGUCUCUGGCGAUGGUGCUCGUCUUAAACAUGUUAUAUCCAUCUGCUUAAGCAAGGAUUAACCUCUGGCCAUCGCCGAAGUAUACCGCGGGAUGCUCUUCGUGAGCGACCUACAGUAUACACUACAAACCAAAUGUGUAUUUGUCUGAUAUUCAUUUAUUUGAAUUAAAAA
rnacentral:misc_RNA from 1 species